UAGUCCACGCCGUAAACGAUGAGUGCUAGAUAUCGGGAAAUUUAUUUUUCGGUUUCGCAGCUAACGCAUUAAGCACUCCGCCUGGGGACUACGAUCGCAAGAUUAAAACUCAAAGGAAUUGACGGGGGCUCGCACAAGUGGUGGAGCAUGCGGUUUAAUUCGAUGCCACGCGAAAAACCUUACCAACCCUUGACAUGGUGGUCGCGGACAACAGAGAUGAUGUCCUUCAGUUCGGCAGGACAGGUGCUGCAUGGCUGUCGUCAGCUCGUGUCGUGAGAUGUUCGGUUAAGUCCGGCAACGAGCGCAACCCACAUCCUUAGUUGCCAGCAUGUAAUGAUGGGGACUCUAAGUAGACUGCCGGCGCAAGCCGCGAGGAAGGUGGGGACGACGUCAAGUCAUCAUGGCCCUUACGCCCAGGGCUACACACGUGCUACAAUGGCCAGUACAGAGGGUUGCGAGCUAGUGAUAGUAAGCCAAUCUCAAAAAGCUGGU
rnacentral:rRNA from 1 species